UACGGAGGGAGCUAGCGUUAUUCGGAAUUACUGGGCGUAAAGCGCACGUAGGCGGCUUUGUAAGUAAGAGGUGAAAGCCCGGAGCUCAACUCCGGAACUGCCUUUUAGACUGCAUCGCUUGAAUCCAGGAGAGGUGAGUGGAAUUCCGAGUGUAGAGGUGAAAUUCGUAGAUAUUCGGAAGAACACCAGUGGCGAAGGCGGCUCACUGGACUGGUAUUGACGCUGAGGUGCGAAAGCGUGGGGAGCAAACAGG
rnacentral:rRNA from 1 species